rnacentral:tRNA from 1 species
GCCUCUGUAGCUCAGCGGACAGAGCGCCGGUCUUCUAAACCGAUGGUCGCAGGUUCGAGUCCUGCCAGGGGCG